UGAGCAACCUACCUUCGGCGGGGGAUAGCCGGCCCAACGGCCGGGUAAUACCGCGUACGACCACAUGGGGACAUCCCUGAGUGGUGAAAGCAGCAAUGCGCCGAUGGAGUGCCUCGCGGCCUAUCAGCUAGUUGGUGGGGUAACGCUCACCAAGGCGACGACGGGUAGCUGGUCUGAGAGGAUGGCCAGCCACAUUGGGACUGAGACACGGCCAGACUCCUACGGGAGCAG
rnacentral:rRNA from 1 species